rnacentral:rRNA from 1 species
CCUACGGGAGGCAGCAGUGGGGAAUAUUGGGCAAUGGACGCAAGUCUGACCCAGCAACGCAGCGUGAAGGAAGAAGGCCCUCGGGUUGUAAACCUUCUUUAAGGGGGAAGAGCAGAAGACGGUACCUCUUGAAUAAGCCACGGCUAACUACGGGCCAGCAGCCGCGGUAGUACGUAGGGGGCAAGCGUUGUCCGGAUUUACUGGGUGUAAAGGGCGUGCAGCCGGAGAGACAAGUCAGAUGUGAAAUCCACGGGCUCAACUCGUGAACUGCAUUUGAAACUGUUUCCCUUGAGUGUCGGAGAGGUAAUCGGAAUUCCUUGUGUAGCGGUGAAAUGCGUAGAUAUAAGGAAGAACACCAGUGGCGAAGGCGGAUUACUGGACGAUAACUGACGGUGAGGCGCGAAAGCGUGGGGAGCAAACAGGAUUAGAUACCCCUGUAGUC